CAGUAGCCACGGUAAUACGUAGGUGGCGAGCGUUGUCCGGAAUUAUUGGGCGUAAAGCGGGCGCAGACGGUUACUUAAGCAGGAUGUGAAAUCCCCGGGCUCAACCUGGGAAUUGCGUUCUGAACUGGGUGGCUAGAGUGUGUCAGAGGGGGGUAGAAUUCCACGUGUAGCAGUGAAAUGCGUAGAUAUAUGGAGGAACACCGGUGGCGAAAGCGGCUCUCUGGCUUGUAACUGACGCUGAGGCUCGAAAGCGUGGGGAGCAAACAGGAUUAGAUACCCCCGUAGUCCCUGUCUCUUAUAC
rnacentral:rRNA from 1 species